GAAUACGGCCAUACCACACUGAACGCGCCGGAUCUCGUCUGAUCUCGGAAGCUAAGCAGGGUUGGGCCUGGUUAGUACUUGGAUGGGAGAAACACAAAGGUUUAAAGAAGAACUAAUAUCAAUACC
rnacentral:rRNA from 1 species